GGAUAGCCUUUCGAAAGAAAGAUUAAUACCUGAUGGUAUGAUGAGAUUGCAUGAUAGCAUCAUUAAAGAUUUAUCGGUGUACGAUGGGGAUGCGUUCCAUUAGGUAGUAGGCGGGGUAACGGCCCACCUAGCCGACGAUGGAUAGGGGUUCUGAGAGGAAGGUCCCCCACAUUGGAACUGAGACACGGUCCAAACUCCUACGGGAGGCAGCAGUGAGGAAUAUUGGUCAAUGGACGAGAGUCUGAACCAGCCAAGUAGCGUGAAGGAUGAAGGUCCUACGGAUUGUAAACUUCUUUUAUAAGGGAAUAAACCCUUCCACGUGUGGGAGCUUGUAUGUACCUUAUGAAUAAGCAUCGGCUAACUCCGUGCCAGCAGCCGCGGUAAUACGGAGGAUGCGAGCGUUAUCCGGAUUUAUUGGGUUUAAAGGGAGCGCAGACGGGUCGUUAAGUCAGCUGUGAAAGUUUGGGGCUCAACCUUAAAAUUGCAGUUGAUACUGGCGUCCUUGAGUGCGGUUGAGGUGUGCGGAAUUCGUGGUGUAGCGGUGAAAUGCUUAGAUAUCACGAAGAACUCCGAUUGCGAAGGCAGCACACUAAGCCGUAACUGACGUUCAUGCUCGAAAGUGUGGGUAUCAAACAGGAUUAGAUACCCUGGUAGU
rnacentral:rRNA from 1 species